UCGCAAUUGUGUCCAAAAAAGACAAAUCCAUUUCUAUUAACUCAGUUUUAGGUACUCCACCUCUUUCUUCUUCACCUCUUCGUCUCCUUUUUGUUGUACGCCUCUGCUUAUCCCAGCUCUUUGAAAUGGCUAUUCCUUUCUCCAAAUCUGCUCUCUUCUUCAGCUCCAGAUCAGCCAUUUCACCAUACCCACAAAAUCAAACACCCAUUUCUCCCUACCCGCAAGCCCCGCCAUCUUCUCUUCGCCAAAAAUCUAGUUCCGACAACGUUGAAAUAUAAAUCUGUAAACUGAAGAAAGGAAAGAGAGCAGAGGCGAUUUCUUCAUCUUCUUUGCUUUGCUUGUGUGGGCAUCAGAAAUCGGGCGAGGUAGAAGGCGGGCCAGGCUGUGGAAGUGGCAGUUUUUGAGGAGGUGGUAGUUCUGGAAUGACGACUCAGCCACAAAUACAACCAAUACGGAUUACUGAGGCAUCUAUGGAGAAAGUGCACCAUUGACUUCGACUCGUCCUCAACUCUAGCCAGUUCUUCAGCACAUCAGAUUUCAGGAGCUAUGUAUGCAUGAUUAAGAGAUCCAUAACAUUCUUUGGGAAGAUUGCUGAUUGGUUCUUUCUCAGACUAUAUUGAAUGACAUGACGAAGGUUUGUCUGGAUUAUCAAACAUUUAUGCAUACCUAAAGAUAGCAUUCUCAAACAGAGGUCUCCUGCUGAGUUCUUUGCAGAUAACAAAAACAUUGUUGGUUUUGACAAUUGAAGAGAUCGGCAGAAGCAGUGUUCUUAAUGGAUCUAUGGCGAGGCGACCAUGUAACGCCAUUUCUCAGUGAGGUGUGGCGAGAUCAAUUAGGCGACUAGAGGCGACGUGAGACAACGUAAUGUUGACCUGAAGGGCGGCACCUUUUGUUUUAAAGUUUUUAAAAAGGUCUUGACUUAAUAAUAUUAGUCAAAUUUAGUUUUUUUCCAUACUUCCUGUCAGUCGUGACUGGCGUUUCUUCUCCUCAACCUCGCGAUCUCUUCUUCUCUUUCAGUCGACUCGCGUGAAAGGUAUGGCCCCUUUUCUCUCUUCUUCUCUUCUUUUCUUCAUUUCUUCUCUUCAGUCCUCUUCUUCUCUUAUUUUCUUAUGUUCAAUUUCUUGUGAAAUGAAUCUUAAAUUCUGAAAUCUGAAGUUCUGAACUGCUUGCUGUCUUCACUCUUCACUUCUUGCUGCCUUCACUACUUUUUUUCCCUCUGUUUUCUUCACUGUUCUGUUUUUUCCUUCUAUUUUCUUUGUUCACUGUAAAAUGUUGCUGAAUGCUACUACUUUCACUGUGCUGACGUCCUGUGGGCUUAGUAGGCAUGCUGCGUGGGUGCUUGAUGGCAUGCAUGGUAUUUGUUGUAACUUGUACAAUAGUGAAUUCAAUGGAUAUUUAUAUAUGCAAUUAAGUAUUUUUAAUUUUUGGUAUUAAUGGCGUCUCGUUUCAAAGAGGCGAGCGGCGAGCGUGGCAAGGCAGGCCCUUGUCGCCUUUUGUCGCCUCUCGCCGUCCAAAACACUGGGCAGAAGUAAAUUUAAACCCAUGAUUGGUCUGGGUUGUCAUGAACGUAGAGAUGAUUUUAAGACAUAAAAGGCUUGUGAGGUGUGUAAUUGUGAUUCACUUUCACUUAGAUGGCAUUGUGAUUUAUAUUUUUAUGCUCACUGUUUGAAAUUUAGCAAAUUUCAUUAGUGAAAUAUUAUUCUAGCAAAUAUUAUUAGAUGGCCUUGGGAUUCUUCUAACUACUGUGUCUAGAAAAGACAUGCCAAGGAAGCUCGGGUUUUAGAAAUUCAAGCAAAGAAUGUUUCUCUUGGUAGAAAGUAAAAGACCCUGCAACUACAAAGGAUGUUAAGGGUAGGGAGGCAUCAUAUUAUAGGGUGACAUGCAAGGUAUGAUCUGUUUCUCUUUCAUCUUCUAUAUGCUGAUUCUGCUCUAAGUAUGCAAGACAAGAAAAGUACAUUUUUAUAGGGUGACAUGCAAGGUAUGAUCUGUUUCUCUUUGUUCUUCUAUAUGAUGACUCGCUCUAAGUAUGCAAGACACAAAAUGUACAUUUUUGAAUUAAAUCAAUUUGGCAAGUUAGUGGAACAUUAUUUUCUUCCCUAAAAUACUCGAAUUAUUGUAUUUUGUUUCUAAUAUAGGAUAAUGGAAGAGGAAUGCCUCAUGAUGAUAUCCUGAAUAUGUUUGGACGAGUUUUCAGGAUUAGUUGAAGGAAGAAGUAGAGUAAGAAAACCAAGACUUAGCCGACAACCCUACUAGUCUGGCAACAAAAUUACCUCAAUCAAAUGAUCUCCCUCUAUUACUUUGUGUUUGGCUUUACUGAAAACUCUUUUGACCUACAGGGGAGAACAGUUUGUGCGGUCCUAUAUGUGUUACUCUCCCAUAUUAAGAAGUUGGGUAUAAAAACCUUUGGUGACCUUGGGCCUUUAGUUUGUUGGUUUCCUAUAAUGUGUGGCCUUCUGUUGGAAUUCACAAAGGAGAACGCAGAAAAAAUUGGUGAAUAUCUUCCCAUCCACGAGUGAAGAAGGGGGAGGUCUUUGCACUUCUCUCCGGUAUUCAAACAAGCUAUGGGUGCAGGAUUGAUGCUGAGUUUUCUGACCAGUUCUUUAGCACACUUCAAACAUGUUCCUAAGACUACCAAGUACUGCAACAUUAUAGUAAGUUUUGGUUAGUUUCAUCUUAUGCUCUGAAUUAAAAUUUUCUAAGAUAAAUUUUUCCUAUCAAACUACUUCCUUAUGGCAUUUGCCUUCUCAAUCUUUACCCUGUUGAUUAUGGUAAAUGUGCAAAUAUUCUUUUGCUUUUGUAGUGCCUCAUAUUAUCUUUUGAUUUUUGGACUGUGAGGACACUGUCUCAUUUUUAGUUGGGGGCUCCUUGUACUCAUUUUGUUGAUUGUUUCUGCAUACUGCAAUUGUGCCCUUGUCGGGCGUACUUUUCUUUCUUUGUUAUAGAUUAGUGUUCCCUUGUCAGGAUUUUAUAAUGUGGAUGUUUCUAUUUAUAUUGUAUUGGAUUGGUCUGUUUUAUUUUUUGAUUUGUAGUUUGAAGCUUCUUUAUUUUAUUUUUUUUAUAAUAUGAUUUGGAUUGACGAUGCCCAAUGAUGAAUAGAGAAAGACGACUUUCUAAAUGUUUAAUCGUGGAUUGCUUGCGAGAGUUGUAUUGGCGCUGAUUUUAUUGGCGCUGAUUGUGGUGAAGUCUUAGUAGCCGUUCUCGAAUAGAUGUAUGAAGUUGGUUGGUGAUGGGUUGGUUGACAACUUUCUUAAGGGCAAAAUUAUUGUCUUUUUGGGAAGCUUUUUACUUGGUUUGUACUAAGAGUAUAACCAUGCAUCUGAAUAUUGUUGAGCAUACCUCUAUGUUUUUGAAAGGUUGAGAAUGUCUUGAAUGAUUUUGCGACAACUCUUACCACUCCUUUUGUGACUUUGGAUUCGUUAGCCUAUUUGUUUUUUCAAAAAGAAAAUAUGAUUUUUUGAACCAUCUUGAUUUAUUUGCAAGCCACAUGUGGUGAGUUGUUGAAUAGUGCCAUGUGUUCGCUUUUGUCACCUAAAACUUGCCCAGUUAGCCUUGAAAUGAUGGUCUUGUUUUAGUUUGGUUGAAGAAAUGAUCUUAGGCUUUCUUUGAUGUUCUUGAAGACCAAUUUGGUCUAAAAUUCCCAUCUUUGUACUAAAUAUGUUCUUUAUUGUUCCCUUUGAGCAUAAUCCUAUUUAUUAGCAACCACAUUACAAGCCUUAUCCUUUAAUGAGUGGUGGUUUUCCUCUCAUUUCGUUUAGAAUUGGUGCUUCUAAUGUUGUUUUUUUCUUAUUUGCACGAAAAUGGAAUAAAGAAUUGAUUUAGGAGAUAUUUGAUGAAACCUAGUGAACUUGGGGAAAAAAGAGGUCAAGAGCUGAAAAUGCAUUUUUGGCAGGGAAAGUACCCUCGGCGAACACACUUGUUGGAGUUUCCGGCCGAGUUCUUUGCAAAUAAGAAAAACAUUGCUGGUUUUGACAAUUUUUCUGUAGUGAAGAGCUUGGCAGAAGUAAAUUUAAUUUCAUGAUUGGUCUGGCCGACCAUGAACGUAGAGAUGAAGCCCUGUAUGAUGAUUUUUCAUUAGCAAAGGCUUGUGAGGUUCUAGAGGUUUAAGCAAAGAAUGUUGCUCUUGGGGAGAAAGUAAAAGACCCUACAACUACAAAGGUAACUAAGGGUAGGGAGGCAUCAUAUUUCAAGGUGGCAUGCAUGGUUCCGGUCGUUGAAGAGUAUUGAAGGCAAUAUUGUUGAAGGCUUGGAUUCUUCCAUUCAUCCAAGUAGGGAAGCAUAAACACUCAAAGGAAUGCGGCUCGAAGACUUAAAGAGGAAGUUGCUAACGCGGGAGCUCCUCCUUAUGAUGAGAAACUUCCUCCACUUGAGAAAAAUGCUAAUGUUGAUCAAGCCCCGGUUAAACCUCCACCUAUGACAGAGGCGGAGAUGAGGGCUAUUCUUGAUCAAAUGGCUCAAGCCAUGACUACCCAAGCACAAGCCGCAAUGGUUCAAGCCCAAGCUAUGACGGCUCAAGCCAACCAGGAUGUUGCUCCUCGUCCUCAUCAAUAAGUCACUACUAUGGCUUUCCGUCUAAGGGACUUCACUCGAAUGAACCCUCCUCCUACUUUCUAUGGGUCUAAGGUUGAUGAAGACCCCCAAGAAUUCCUUGAUGAGGUCUACAAAGUGCUAUAUGGUAUAGGGGUGACUUCAAGUGAGAAGGCCGAGUUGACCUCAUAUCAACUACAGGAUGUGGCUCAAACUUGGUAUGUGCAAUGGAGGGACAAUAGGUCGUUGAGGGGUGGUCCGGUGACUUGGGAGAUCUUUAAGGCGGCUUUUCUAGAUCAAUUCUUCGCUAUAGAGAUGAGGGAGGAAAAGGUGAUGGAGUUCAUCAAUUUUGCCAUGAAGGGAAGAGUGUUCAUGAUUACUCUUUGGAAUUUGUUGAGUUGUCCAAAUAUUCUCCUUAUUUAGUCUCCGAUCCUAGAGACCAAAUGAGCCGUUUUGUGAUGGGGGUGUCGGAGGACUUACAAGAGGAGUGUCAAUCGUCCAUGCUACAUGACAACAUGAACAUUUUCCGUCUUAUGGUUUAUGCAAGAAGGGUUGAGGAGGCAAGAGCUAAGAGAAAAAGUAGAGAUGCUAAGAGGGCUAAUCAUUUGAUGGAGGCUCCUCAAGGGAUAGGCUUGAGAUGCAAGAUAAGCCUAAAUUUAAGAAGCGCGGUUCAAAUCAAGUUUCUACCAUAUUCCCAAGAGUAGUGGUGAUAGGGUGUUUAACCAUAAAUUUAAGAAGGGAAAAGGUUCUAAUUCACCAAAGGAGAAGCCAACUUGUGGAAAGUGUGGUAAAAGCACUAUGGUGAGUGCCUUAAGGGGGCGUAUAAUUGUUUUAGUUGUGGCAAGAGUGCUCACAAAAUGAGAGAUUUUCCAAACUUGAAGAGUCAUGACAAGAGUAGUGGCCAAGCUCAAGCAAGUAGUUCUAGUGAUGGUCCAAAGAAGAAUCGCUUCUAUGCUCUCCGUUCUAGGGGUGAGCAAGAGACCUCUCCCGACAUGGUGAUCGGUUGGAAGCAAGAAGAAGUCUAGAAGGAAAAGCUUGGGAAUCUACUCUCUCAAGACUAAGUAUGUCCUCAUUUAUCCGGGGGCUAUGAACUAGUGGUGAGUCCCAUUUUUUGGUUGAGUUUGAGGGUUGACAGUAAGACCUUGCUGUUGGCUUAUGAACGAGACCUGGUUCCAGUCGUUGAAGGACUUUUGAGACAACUUUGAAGAAAGACUUGGAAUUCUUACUCAUCCUAGUUGGGUUCCGGUCGUUGAAGGGCUUUUGAGACGACUUUGAAGGAAGACUUGAAAUUCUUACUCAUCCAAGUUGGGUAGGUCCUCAAUUUUCGAGGGCAAUGCUAAUAUAAAGCUUAUGAAGUUGUUCUAGUUUUAACACUUUUA